GGAGAGAUGGCCGAGCGGUUUAAGGCGGUAGUCUUGAAAACUACUAUAGCGGUAACGCUAUCGGGGGUUCAAAUCCCUCUCUCUCCG
rnacentral:tRNA from 1 species